rnacentral:tRNA from 1 species
UCCCGUGUGGCUCAGUUGGUAGAGCAUGGUGUUUGCAAUGCCAGGGUUGUGGGUUUGAUUCCCACAAGGGAC